ACGUAAUAGAUACCCGGGUAGUCCACGCCCUAAACGAUGUCUACUAGUUGUUGGUGGAGUAAAAUCCAUGAGUAAACGCAGCUAAACGCGUGAAGUAGACCGCCUGGGGAGUACGGUCGCAAGAUUAAAACUCAAAUGAAUUGACGGGGGCCCGGCACAAGCGGUGGAUUAUGUGGAUUAAAUUCGAUGCAACGCGAAAAACCUUAACCUGGCCUUGACAUGUAACGAAACUUUCCUAGAGAUGGAUUGGUUGCUCGAAAGAAGAACGUUAACACAGGUGCUGCAUGGCGUGUCGUCAGCUCGUGUCGUGAGAUGUUGGG
rnacentral:rRNA from 1 species